rnacentral:rRNA from 1 species
CCUACGGGAGGCUGCAGUGGGGAAUAUUGGACAAUGGGGGAAACCCUGAUCCAGCGACGCCGCGUGAGUGAAGAAGUAUUUCGGUACGUAAAGCUCUAUCAGCAGGAAAGAAAAUGACGGUACCUGACUAAGAAGCCCCGGCUAACUACGUGCCAGCAGCCGCGGUAAUACGUAGGGGGCAAGAGUUAUCCGGAUUUACUGGGUGGAAAGGGAGCGUAGACGGCAGCGCAAGUCUGGAGGGAAAUGCCGGGGCCCAACCCCGGAACUGCUCUGGAAACUGGGAAGCUGGAGUGUAGGAGAGGUAAGCAGAAUUCCUGGUGUAGCGGUGAAAUGCGUAGAUAUCAGGAGGAACACCGGCGGCGAAGGCGGCUUACUGGACUGUAACUGACGUUGAGGCUCGAAGGCGUGGGGAGCAAACAGGAUUAGAUACCCCAGUAGUC